rnacentral:lncRNA from 1 species
UUAAGAAUUACUGAUUUUUAUACGACCGCAAAUUUUGAAAAAAUUUUCGUCGUAUAUUGCUAUCACGUUGGCGUCUGCGUCGUCGUCGUCGUCGUCGUCGUCGUCGUCGUCGUCCGGCGUCCGAAUACUUUUAGUUUUCGCACUCUAACUUUAGUAAAAGUGAAUAGAAAUCUAUGAAAUUUUAACACAAGGUUUAUGACCAUAAAAGGAAGG